GGCAGUUGCUAGGAGACCGUAAACCUCAGCUCUAACCAAGGACCACUGCAGACCGUUCUAUGAAGCUAUACCAUUGCAAAUUGAAACACAAACAAAAAACUUCGCAGCUGAAUACGGACCAGGACUUCAGAUUGUGAAACCCACUCCCAACGGCUAUAGAUUGUGAGGAUUCAUGCCAUGGCCUCUGCACCACCAAGGUCCCCACUGCCCUGUCCCCUUGGACAAAGCAGGGAUAAUGAGUUCCCAG